rnacentral:rRNA from 1 species
GGGGAAUGNNUGAUGCUUUAUGGCUUAUAACUAUAUCCACUUACACCUGUGAACUGUUCUACUACUUGACGCAAGUCGAGUAUUUUUACAAACAAUGUGUAAUGAACGUCGUUUUAUUAUAACAAAAUAAAACUUUCAACAACGGAUCUCUUGGCUCUCGCAUCGAUGAAGAACGCAGCGAAUUGCGAUAAGUAAUGUGAAUUGCAGAAUUCAGUGAAUCAUCGAAUCUUUGAACGCAGCUUGCGCUCUCUGGUAUUCCGGAGAGCAUGCCUGUUUCAGUGUCAUGAAAUCUCAACCACUAGGGUUUCCUAAUGGAUUGGAUUUGGGCGUCUGCGAUUUCUGAUCGCUCGCCUUAAAAGAGUUAGCAAGUUUGACAUUAAUGUCUGGUGUAAUAAGUUUCACUGGGUCCAUUGUGUUGAAGCGUGCUUCUAAUCGUCCGCAAGGACAAUUACUUUGACUCUGGCCUGAAAUCAGGUAGGACUACCCGCUGAACUUAAGCAUAUCUAAACCGGGAAGAAAAGGANCANUGANUGAUUGCCUUUAUNGGCGUAUCACUAUCUCCACUUACCCUGUGAACUGUUCUAUACUUGACGCAGUCGAGUAUUUUUACAACAAUGUGUAAUGAACGUCGUUAUAUUAUAACAAAAUAAAACUUUACACGGACCUCUUGGCUCUGCAUCCUCAAAAAAGCAGCAAAUGCGAUAAGUAAUGUGAAUUGCAGAACUAAUGAAUCACAAACUUUGAAGCACUGCGCUCUUGGUAUUCCGAGAGCAGCCGGUUUCAGUGUCAGGAAAUCCACACUAGGGUUUCUAAAGGGAUAGGGAUUUGGGCGUCUGCGAUAUCGAAGCUGCUUAAAAGAAUUUGGAGGUUUGAACUUAAUGGUCUGGGGUAAUAACUUUUCCGGGGGUCCUGGUAUUUGAAACGGGUCCUUAUCCCCGGAAAAUUCAUUUGACUUUGCGGAAAUCAGUUAGGAUCCCUCACUAAACUAGUAUGGGGGGAAAAAAAAAA